UGGGUCCUAAUGUUAGGACCCGCCAUAGAACAGCUUUUUGGUCGCUCAUGCAACAUCUUGGUAUUGUAUAGUCUUUGUUAGUACGUUUGUGGGCGUAGCCACCAGCCAACAGGAAAAUACCUUUUCCGAUCAUUAUAACAACAGAGGUUGUUUUGUUCGAGAAUAAAAUGCAUAAAAUAAAAAUUAUAGGUCACGUUUGUGGGUUCCAUUCGGUGCAGAGGACUUGGAAGCUAAAAGGUUACUCCGAACACUCAACCCCUUCGCACGCACGCACUCACUUUCCUCUGGGUAGUCGGCAUUUCUUUGCAUUUUU